AUCCAGACUCCUACGGGAGGCAGCAGUGAGGAAUAUUGGUCAAUGGUCGGGAGACUGAACCAGCCAAGCCGCGUGAGGGAGGAAGGUACAGAGUAUCGUAAACCUCUUUUGUCAGGGAACAAAGACUGGGACGCGUCCCCGGACGAGUGUACCUGAAGAAAAAGCAUCGGCUAACUCCGUGCCAGCAGCCGCGGUAAUACGGAGGAUCCGAGCGUUAUCCGGAUUUAUUGGGUUUAAAGGGAGCGUAGGUGGAUUGUUAAGUCAGUUGUGAAAGUUUGCGGCUCAACCGUAAAAUUGCAGUUGAAACUGGCAGUCCUGAGUACAGUAGAGGUGGGCGGAAUUCGUGGUGUAGCGGUGAAAUGCUUAGAUAUCACGAAGAACUCCGAUUGCGAAGGCAGCUUACUGGACUGCAACUGACACUGAGGCUCGAAAGUGUGGGUAUCAAACAGGAUUAGAUACCCGAGUAC
rnacentral:rRNA from 1 species